ACUGUCUAAUUAAAAUGAACCAUUGCGAGGGCCGCUGGUCGGUGGUGAAGCAAUGUGAUUUCUGCCCAGUGGUUUUAAUCUCAACGUGAAGAAAUUCAAAAAAGGGCGGGUGAAUGGCGGGACACCUUACGCGUUUGUUAGGUCACGUCGUUAAGCCAAUUUCGACGCAUUUUGGCCGCGGACUUCCUUUGUCGGCACAUGAAAUGACCCA
rnacentral:rRNA from 1 species